CACAAGCGGUGGAGCAUGUGGUUUAAUUCGAUGAUACGCGAGGAACCUUACCUGGGCUCAAAUGUAUGUUGACGUAUUCUGAAAGGGAUACUUCUUCGGACAAUAUACAAGGUGCUGCAUGGUUGUCGUCAGCUCGUGCCGUGAGGUGUCGGGUUAAGUCCCAUAACGAGCGCAACCCCUAUCAUUAGUUGCCAUCAGGUCAAGCUGGGGACUCUAAUGAAACUGCCUACGCAAGUAGUGAGGAAGGUGGGGAUGACGUCAAAUCAGCACGGCCUUACGUCCAGGGCUACACACGUGCUACAAUGGCCGAUACAGAGGGCAGCUACCUGGUGACAGGAUGCAAAUCUCCAAAGUCGGUCUCAGUUCGGAUCGGAGUCUGCAACCCGACUCCGUGAAGUUGGAUUCGCUAGUAAUCGCGCAUCAGCCAUGGCGCGGUGAAUACGUUCCCGGGCCUU
rnacentral:rRNA from 1 species